rnacentral:lncRNA from 1 species
GGUUCUUAAGGGACCUCUAUAGUUCUCGGGACACCCUUCAGGAACUUAGACCUUUCUUUCAGUCUUUCUCCUGUCUGCCUCUCUCUGGGCCUCUCUAGCACACCUGUGCAGGGUAGUUCUUAGGUGUCAUAAAGAUGGGGCUCCCAGGAUGAGCUACCACUGUGGGCAAUUGCUUCUUUCCAUGGACUUGUCUCCUCUUGCCUGGAUUCAGCAGCCUAUCAGGCUGAGUCACAGACAGGGCUGCUGAAGGAACAAAUUGUACUGGCCUUUCCCCAGCAAGACUGCCUCACCCUGAAUUUCAACCAACUUGUUCGGGGUGGAGGAGGACCCCAACAGCCCAACUGUCAGGGAGACUACUGUGAUCAGUGCUGUGUAGGAGGAGCUGGGAGGAAGGAUGUCACAUUCAAUUCAGAGUCCAUUAGGAUCCAGACGCUCCCCUGCAAUGACUUCCUAAUCCAGACAGCGCAUGCAAGAAAACUUGCAGGACUUGUGAACGACAGCGGAAGCUGCAAAGUGUGGUGGAGAUCUCUGUCCUGCUGUUUAAGAAGUGGGCCUCCGAGGGUCUGAGCCUAGCCACCUAGAGGAGAGUGGUCUGGCCAUCAUAGAGUUCCUCAUGCCACAUCUCAUGAGCACUUACCUUCUCGUACAUAAAUAUCGGGCAGUGGAAUCGGAGCAUGUGUCCCCUGACUGGAAGCAGUGACAACCACGGCAGCAGGUUUAUUUUUAAAUAAAGAUUGGAAAGUUACAAGGC